AUUGAACGCUGGCGGAAUGCUUUACACAUGCAAGUCGAGCGGCAGCGCGGGGGCAACCCUGGCGGCGAGCGGCGAACGGGUGAGUAAUACAUCGGAACGUGUCCUUAAGUGGGGGAGUAGCUCGGCGAAAGCCGGAUUAAUACCGCAUAAGCUCUGAGGAGGAAAGCGGGGAGUUCGCAAGGACCUCGCGCUGUUGGAGCGGCCGAUGUCGGAUUAGCUAGUUGGUGGGGUAAAGG
rnacentral:rRNA from 1 species